rnacentral:rRNA from 1 species
UACGUAGGUGGCAAGCGUUGUCCGGAAUUAUUGGGCGUAAAGCGCGCGCAGGCGGUCUUUUAAGUCUGAUGUGAAAGCCCACGGCUCAACCGUGGAGGGUCAUUGGAAACUGGGGGACUUGAGUGCAGAGGAGGAAAGCGGAAUUCCACGUGUAGCGGUGAAAUGCGUAGAGAUGUGGAGGAACACCAGUGGCGAAGGCGGCUUUCUGGUCUGAUAACUGACGCUGAGGCGCGAAAGCGUGGGGAGCAAACAGG